UUCCCCGAACCGAUCGCCUAGGGAUUAGAGGUUAUGCACAAAAAUGUCCUAGCUCUUACUGACCCUAGCCUCUGAUACCUUCAACAUCAGACACAUACAGUUACGAACAGCAAGCGCAAUUAAAGGUACAGUGACAUCACGACAUGGACACACAGACACACAAACACAUACACAUGCACAUACACAGAGAGAGAGGGAGAGAGUAAGAAUGUGUGUGGGAGGAAGAAAUGAGUGGGAUCCACUUUGCCACCAGCAUCUCCACCUGUGUCACAGGGAAAAAAUUACAAAGAAAUUAAAACACAAAGCAAACAACAAUAAUUCAAUGAGUAUAAAUGAUCAAACUAAAAUAUACAACCAUGCAUGGGUUUUAUAACAGUUCCGGCAACACUGGAGAGGAAGCCUUGUAUAAUGAAUUCUUAAGAUGUCCUUCAUCAAUUAAAGGUUAUAGCCAAAUUGUUUCAGGAUCCUGAAUUUGAAUUUGAAUUGGUUAAUUUACUCAGAAUAGUCCAAUGUCUUUGUUGAUGUUUCUCAAGGCUCGGCCAUGCCCAUAUAGAUAAAUAAACAAACAAACAAGACAAACACAGUCAAACACACGGUCCAUACACGUCUCUGUGCCCUCACACACCAAGCAAAUGUCAGACUGAAGCGAAAGUGUGAAAUACUUAACCUAACGCUAAAUCAGUGGAAAGAAAAAAUAAGACCUAAAGCGUGUAAUCAAAUUAAUCCAACAAAACUUCCCAUAACUGCUGUUCUAAACUCACGUUGCGAUGUGAUCUCUCCAAUUAGAAAUUAGGACAAUCACUUUACUAUCAAUUCAACCAAAAAGUUUCAGGUUGUCCCUUACCUAAACUACCUGUCUUUCUUACCUUCUUUCUUUCUUUCUUUCUUUCUUUUUUAGGAACACUACUCGCACAAGAAAUCCUAAGAAUUAAUUCACUACUUAAGGUUAAUUCAUAAAUAACGAAACUGCAGUUACAGGUUUGUUUGUGCAUAGUAUUGGUAAUCAGCAGUUUUUUUCCUUAUCUCCUCAUCUAGAAGUGUUUCUGUGCUACUCCUCCAUCUAUAACACAAGUUAGUAUCAUCCUUAAAGCAUCUGAAAUUAAGCUGCAUUGCUAAAUCAAUAACGUGAUUUGUGCUAAGAAAUACUCCCCUAUCCUCUUCCUUUUUCCAGUGGCACUGAAUGACAGAUUUUAGAUCAAUUUAACGUUUUAUGACUAUUACGUUUCAUUUAAUUAAUUUUGCUUUUUCUCUCUUAUUUUUAUCUAUUUAUUUAUUUAUGUUAUUUAUUUAUUUAUCAUGCCAUCCUGUGAUGAUAAUCUUAAAGACUUUUUAGCCAAUUGUCGUCAAAAAGGCCAAUUAAAAAUAUUAUGUUAAAGAUUUCACAAGAUAAAAAUGUGAACAUAAUUUUUAUCGAAUGAGGGGUACAAUUAUUCACUAUUUUUGUGACAUUAUUUUCUACGUUAGAACUUACAGCUGAUAGAAAAAUAUAGGAUCAGCUAGGUUUGGCUAGAUCUGUUGGGAAACUCAACGGAGCUGAAACAACACUUGUCUCGGAUGAGAUGUUCCAUGAAUCGUUUAGUCAGCUGGAUGCCAAAUUAUUCAUUUAAUGUUUAUUUUUAUGCAAUGAAAGGAAUGGGAUGGAACGUUACUAUAAACUAUCCGGAAAUUUGCGCAUGUUUGCUCGAAGGAGAGAACUGUUGAAGCCUAAAGCGUUCUCCUAGACUUAUAAAUAGACACCGUUUCCUUAACCAAUGAAAAUAAGUGAUGACGCUGAUGUAUUCCGUUUUGAAAAGAAAAUAAGGCUUUACUGCAUGUCCGCUGCAGCUGAGAAUCCUAGGACAAUAAAGAUUAUAUUGACGUCCAAUGGUGAGUUGGGCUGAAAUCCAGGUUACUAAUCCUAUUAUUUAUUUAUUUAUUGAUAUUAUUAUUAUCUUUUUUUUUUUAGGCUAACUUUCUCAGUUAACUAUGUUCUACAGUAGUUUAGUAAAUUUUCCACAGUUCUGACAUUUCAUCAAUUCAACUGGUUGUUGCCAAAAAGCCUUGUUCAUUACCUGACUGCAGCAAGCACUCUUUUACUGGGUGUAACCAUAGGAAACAGUCUCUUUUGAGCCUCUCUUUGUAAGUCCAGGAUGACCACCGUCAUUGAUUAAAGUUCACAUGUUAGCACACAUGCUCCCCCUUUUGUACUUUGUUUCAUCAGCAGCAGGGCAAAUAAGUUUCUGCCUCUUUGUCCAUCUUGUAGUGCUCCCCGUCUUUAUGUUAUGAGUCACAGCUUUUGGUGAGGGCUUCCAGGUUCUCUUUGGUGAGGGCUUCCAGGUUCUCUUUGUAUAGAAGUCAGAGCCAAACAUUCUUUGCAGCUGGUUGUGACAGGCCCACCCAGUAAAGUUCAUGCCUCCACAAUGCACAGCAAACGUUUUCCUUAAAUAUGUUGAUUGAGUUGAAAGGACAGAACUUUCUCUUUUACAAAUCAAAAUCAACGAAGGUUUCUAAUAUUUAGUCAACUUUAUUGACUCAAAGGUAAAUCUAGACUAUUUCCUAUGCACAAUUUUUUCUGAAUCAUCAAAUUAGUUCUACACAGGUUUUAAACUUUAGGCACAAUCUAUCCCAAAUGCAAGAUCCCUCCUUUCAUUUUUUGUUUAUCUAUUUUAUUUUGGGAAAAUAACUACCAGUUUUUAACUCAAAACAGCCUAGUACAGUUUCUAGCCAGGUUACAGGAAAUAAUACUUAGUUUAUCUGUUUUUUCAUUAUUCAGCAUCUCAAAAUCCAGCCAUUAACGUUAAUGGUUCUUAAAGUUGAGGCAAGACAAUUAUUGGAUUUUGUUUUAUAGCAAGAUUUAACAAAUAUUUUAUUUCCUUACUGAUUAUUUGUUAAUUUUAUGGUUUUCAUAAAGAUGAUCCUGAGAGGUUCAGAGCUGCUUUUCGCAGUACCCUGUGCUAUUUUUAGACUGCGGGACUCCUGUGUGUAAAAGUGGGUGGAGUCAGGUCCUCAGGCUGAAACUCCAGUCAUUCUCACUAGAUCUGUCCGAGAGGAAGGAUCUCCUGAAUACCCUAACCAGAAGCCUUAAGUCUCUCGAACUAAAUAACCGUCUAGUAAAAACAUGGACCGCACCCUGUUUCUCAAGCAGCUGCUCCCUCUAUUAAAAACUGAGUCAUUCAGAAGAUCCAGCGAAAGCAGCUCAUGCAAGAAGACACACAUUCACUCAUUCACAAAGCACAGAGACAUUCUUUGUUUGUCACAGUCUCUUUUUAUUAUUAUUAUUAUUUUUUUAAGGUAAGUCAGUUCGUCACUUAUUUAUUCUCUCUCUAUAUAUAUAUAAUAUUUUAAGCACAGAAUUUAUUUAACACUGCACUGGUUAUUUUCAGAAUUUAAUGCUUACUAUGCUUUUAAGCAGGCCUUAUGUAACAUUAGAGCAAAUCCAAUUGCAAUUUUUUUGAGAGCGCUCUGAGGAAUAGUUUAUAUAUUUAUUUUCUGCAGAUCUGUUUUGAUUUUACUGUUUAGCAGCUAUAUGACUAUAUUUCUAAAAUAAAGCUGUCAUUUACAUCCUUA